rnacentral:rRNA from 1 species
CCAUGCACGUAUAAGCACAAGCCCAUGAAUGGUGAAGCCGCGAAUGGCUCAUUACAACAGCCAUAGUUUAUUAGAUUUUGCAGUACUUGGGUAACUGUAGCAAUUCUAGAGCUAAUACAUGCAUUUAAGUCCCUACCUUGCGGAAAGGACGCAUUUAUUAGACCAAAACCAAUCGGGUUUUCCCGUUGUUUGGUGAAUCUGAAUAACUUUGCUGAUCGCAUGGUCCUCGUACCAGCGACGUAUCUUUCAAAUGUCUGCCUUAUCAACUUUCGAUGGUAGUUUAUGCGCCUACCAUGGUUGUAACGGGUAACGGAGAAUUAGGGUUCGACUCCGGAGAGGGAGCCUGAGAAACGGCUACCACAUCCAAGGAAGGCAGCAGGCACGCAAAUUACCCACUCCCGGCACGGGGAGGUAGUGACGAAAAAUAACGAGACGGUUCUCUAUGAGGCCCGUCAUCGGAAUGGGUACAAUUUAAAUCCUUUAACGAGGAUCUAUUGGAGGGCAAGUCUGGUGCCAGCAGCCGCGGUAAUUCCAGCUCCAAAAGCGUAUAUUAAAGUUGUUGCGGUUAAAAAGCUCGUAGUUGGAUCUCUGCCCUUGGUUGGCGGUCCCCUAAACGGAGGUACUGCUAUACCGGGCUCAUAUAUCUGGUUUGCCUUUGGUGCUCUUUACUGAGUGCCUUUGGUGACUGGAACGUUUACUUUGAAAAAAUUAGAGUGCUUAAAGCAGGCGGUCAGCCUGAAUAGUGGUGCAUGGAAUAAUGGAAUAGGACUUCGGUUCUAUUUUGUUGGUUGAAGGGAUCGAAGUAAUGAUUAAGAGGGACAGACGGGGGCAUUCGUAUUGUGCCGUUAGAGGUGAAAUUCUUGGAUCGGCGCAAGACGAACUACUGCGAAAGCAUUUGCCAAGAAUGUUUUCAUUAAUCAAGAACGAAAGUUAGAGGUUCGAAGGCGAUCAGAUACCGCCCU